rnacentral:misc_RNA from 1 species
GUGAAUCAUCGAAUUUUUGAACGCAAAUUGCACUCUCUUCGGAGAGUAUGCCUGUUUGAAGGUCAGUAUUAAUAAAAAUCGGUGUGCUGCUUCUUUGUGCCUUUCCGGAGUUUGGGUCAUCUUAAUAUCUUUUAGGUUUUAAGAGGCUUAAAAUUGACUUUUUUUGCGCUUUUUAGAUGUAUAUAUAUUCUUUUUUUUAUUCGUCUGUCUUAGUGUUCAAAAUCCUAUUAGAUGCGACUAUAUACUGUGGUUACGUGUCUAUAAAUUUUUCAUGAUUCU